rnacentral:rRNA from 1 species
AGCGAACGCUGGCGGCAGGCCUAACACAUGCAAGUCGAACGAAGUCUUCGGACUUAGUGGCGGACGGGUGAGUAACACGUGGGAACGUGCCUUUAGGUUCGGAAUAACUCAGGGACACUUGUGCUAAUACCGAAUGUGCCCUUCGGGGGAAAGAUUUAUCGCCUUUAGAGCGGCCCGCGUCUGAUUAGCUAGUUGGGGAGGUAAAGGCUCACCAAGGCUACGAUCAGUAGCUGGUCUGAGAGGAUGACCAGCCACAUUGGGACUGAGACACGGCCCAAACUCCUACGGGAGGCAGCAGUGGGGAAUCUUGCGCAAUGGGCGAAAGCCUGACGCAGCCAUGCCGCGUGGAUGAUGAAGGUCUUAGGAUUGUAAAAUCCUUUCACCGGUGAAGAUAAUGACUGUAGCCGGAGAAGAAGCCCCGGCUAACUUCGUGCCAGCCGCCGCCGUAAGAC